ACUCCUACGGGAGGCAGCAGUCGGGAAUUUUGGGCAAUGGGCGAAAGCCUGACCCAGCAACGCCGCGUGAAGGAUGAAGUAUUUCGGUAUGUAAACUUCGAAAGAAUGGGAAGAAUCAAUGACGGUACCAUUUAUAAGCUCCAGCUAACUACGUGCCAGCAGCCGCGGUAAUACGUAGGGAGCAAGCGUUGUUCGGAUUUACUGGGCGUAAAGGGCGCGUAGGCGGCGCGACAAGUCACUUGUGAAAUCUCCGGGCUUAACUCGGAACGGCCAAGUGAAACUGUCAUGCUAGAGUGCAGAAAGGGCAAUCGGAAUUCUUGGUGUAGCGGUGAAAUGCGUAGAUAUCAAGAGGAACACCUGAGGCGAAGGCGGGUUGCUAGGCUGACACUGACGCUGAGGCGCGAAAGCCAGGGGAGCAAACGGGAUUAGAUACCCUGGUAGUC
rnacentral:rRNA from 1 species